CGCCUCUUGACAAAAUAUAAGAGGUCCAGCCUGCCCAGUGAUAAAUUUAACGGCCGCGGUAUCCUAACCGUGCGAAGGUAGCAUAAUCAUUUGUUCUUUAAAUGGGGACUUGUAUCAACGGCACCACGAGGGCCAUACUGUCUCCUUUCUCUAGUCAGUGAAACUGAUCUCCCCGUGAAGAAGCGGGGAUUUAACUAUUAGACGAGAAGACCCCAUGGAGCUUAAAACUCACUAUAUAAUUCUGUACCUCAUAUCACCUUAAUUCAGAAUCCUAUAUGCUAGUUUUAGGUUGGGGGGACCUCGGAGUAUAAUUUAACCUCCAUAACAAAUGGGCUAAUACCCUUAUCCAAGAUAAACACCUCUAAGAAUUAUUAAAUUAAUGUUUAAUGACCCGAUAUAUUCGAUCAAUGAACCAAGUUACCCUGGGGAUAACAGCGCAAUCUACUUCAAGAGUCCAUAUCGACAAGUAGGUUUACGACCUCGAUGUUGGAUCAGGGUAUCCUAGUGGUGCAACCGCUACUAAUGGUUC
rnacentral:rRNA from 1 species